rnacentral:rRNA from 1 species
AUUGAACGCUGGCGGCAUGCCUUACACAUGCAAGUCGAACGGCAGCACGGGAGCAAUCCUGGUGGCGAGUGGCGAACGGGUGAGUAAUAUAUCGGAACGUGCCCAGUCGUGGGGAUAACGUAGCGAAAGCUACGCUAAUACCGCAUACGAUCUAUGGAUGAAAGCGGGGGAUCGCAAGACCUCGCGCGAUUGGAGCGGCCGAUAUCAGAUUAGGUAGUUGGUGAGGUAAAGGCGUCACCAAGCCAACGAUCUGUAGCUGGUCUGAGAGGACGACCAG